CGCGUGCGCCGCUGCCAGCUGGGGGUGGGGACGCGAGUGCAGCCAGCCGCUGUCCCGGGCUGUGCGCGGACGGAGGGGCCGGUGCGCUGCGCUGCGCGGAGUGGGGUGGGGUGUCGGGGUCCUGGGUCUGCCCCCGCGCGGUGCGAUGUGCCCGGCUCCUUCCCCGCAGACAGGCCCGGGCCCGACACCGCCAGCGCCGGCCGGACGCGCAGGAGCGGGGCAGGCGGGAAGAGUCCCUGGGCUCGUCCCGGCUGGGGCUGGCGGGGCGUCCCCCUCCCCGCCGUGCUCGGCACCGCAGACAGUCGGACAGCAGGUGCUGGAGGAGCCGGUCGAUGGCCAGGAGAUGCAGGGCCGGGAGGUGAAGCAGCCCCCGUCUGAGGCGGAGCUGGACUUGGUGACCCCCCCGCCGGCACCGGGGCACGACCUCCCCGCCCCGCACGCCUGGCGCCAGCGCUUCCGGGGCCUCCGCUACCGGGAAGGCGCGGGGCCGCGGGAGGUGUGCGGCCGGCUGCGGGAGCUGGCCCAGCGCUGGCUGGAGCCCCAGCGCCGCAGCAAGGAGCAGAUGCUGGAGCUGGUGGUGCUGGAGCAGUUCCUGGCCAUCCUGCCCCGGGAGACGCGGAGCUGGGAGUGGGGGCGCGGCGUGGAGACCUGCGCCCAGGCCGUGGCCCUGGCCGAGGGGGUUCAGCUGGGGCAGGAGGAGGACGAGACGCUCCAGGUCGCAGCGAGCGUGACGGUUGAGGAGGAUUCCACGGACAAGAUGCAGCUCGUGGGGGCGUUGCAGGAGCCUGGUGAUUGCUGGCACCCAUCCUACAGACAUGUCUCUGGAGGAGGCAGGACAGAGGGAAACCCCAGGGCCUCAGGACAAGACACCUCAUGUCCUCAAAGAGGAGACCCCACCUGACCAGGAGUCAGGUGCUUACCAACCUAUUUGAUGUCUAAGAUUCCCCUAAAACAGGAAACUUGGGACUGGUCAGCAGGUGAAAGUUUCUCAGGCUGGUGCCCCGGACAUAUCCCCAGGAACAGCUGUGGGAUGCCUUUGAGGAUGUGGCUCUUCGUUUUGCACGGAAGGAGUGGGAGGUGCUGGAGGAUGAAGACAAGGUACUUUACCGGGACCAGAUGCUGAGGAAUUACCAAGCCCUCUUUUCCCUGGAUAAAGCUCUGGUUUUUGCUUAUCCCUAGUGCUAUGUGAACUCUGAAGUGUGUUGUUUUCUCUGUGUUUUUCAAGCUUCAUGAACUUUUGGCUGGUGGUUAAACCUACUGCCUCCCCACUGCUCUGUCAGUAAUCAGGCCUCUCUCAUAUUUAUAUCCUCCUUCAUUUGAUUCAGCUGCCUUCCCUUGAGUCUUCUCUAUUCUUGUAACUCCUGGUGCUUCCAUAUUCAGCAGUUUCUUGGCAGCAUGCUCUCCCUUUGCCUUCUCAGCAUAUUCACAUCAUCUCUAAUUCAUUGUCCAUAAAAACUGACUGACAGCUCUUCCUUGUAGAAUUAUUCUGAUUUCCUCCCCCUUUGGCCUAGCGUCUCCGGUCCAAACACAUUUAAGAAUCAGCGUGCUGGAUGCAGUGUUGUCUAAAUCCUCUUUCUCCUCCUUCGGUUCUUACCAGGCAGAAGUUAAUGGAAGUUUUAUCAGCCUAGGCUGCUACAGCAUGGAUUUUGCAUUUCCUCACCUCUUUCUUUAGUGACAUACGUACACGUGAUUAACCCCAGGUACUUCUAGAAAGGAGUCACUGGAAGCUUCUGCCCACCAUCCUUCCUCACAUCUUCAUCUCCAUAGACCCCUGACUCUGGCUUCGCUGUACUUGCUUUGAGACCUGAGCUCUCAAGCUCACACUGCCAUUCUCAACAGUUUCUUUGUCCUCCUCCUAAACUCCUUCUGCAUGUCUGACACCCAUCCCUGUGAUAAAAAGAGCUGGGCUCGGUGCAGGGCCUAGUGAAAACCCGUUUUCAUUUCCAAAGGAUCUCUAACAUAAGAGUUCGUUUUGGCUUGUGUAGAGGUUGAGAUUGAUCUUUUAUUGGGUCAGUUUGUUUUUCUGGUGCUUAUUUCCCUCAAAGGACUUCCUUAGGGUAGUUUUCAAAGUCUUUUUCUAGCCAAACAAAGACCAUAUAGGGGUUUUUAUUCUUUUCUGUAAUUAUCUUGAAUAUGUCAGAGGAUUUUUGCACACUUCUAAAAACAUACUGAUUAUUACUCAUGUUAAUCGUCCUCUUGAGUUCAGCUGCAAUAACUUUCCUUACCUUUUGCAAGGAGUGGCUAAGUAACUGUUCUCCAGUCAUUGGUACAUUGGUAUUUACUAGCUAUAUCUUUGAACAAGAAAUGUGAUAUUAUAUUAGUCACCUUUCACCCCUAAUCUGUUAUCUUGUUCAUUUUCUAGAUGAAAAACACUAAUUCCCAGCCUGUUACCCUCCUAGUAUUUCAGGAUCUUCCACUGACUAGGUUUGCACCUCUCCUGGUUACCCAUUUUUCAGUUUACUACUCUCCUAAUUUGCUCUGCACUCUCCCCUGGCAUUCUAACUUUAAUUUACAGUGAGUGCAUCCACAUGAGACACUACUGCACAGUUGGCCAAUUUAGUGUGCAGUAAGUGUCGUCAUCUUCAUGUUCAGACUCUUACUGCACAGUAAAUUGGUCUACUCUAUGUUUAAUUUGCUACCUGCAAAUGGAGGUACCAGAUUAACUUCCGAGAAGUUACAGUACAACCAGGCACACGUAGAUAGCCAAUUUGGAGCAAAUUUGCUCCGUCAGCCAGAUAGCAGGGGGCAGGAGAUUCUCAGGCCGGGCUCCACCACUGGAUAUUCUUCAUCCAUAAGUGUGUCCAAUGCCUCCUAAUUUUGGUCUGUUUUCUAGUACCUCACACAUCACUGCAUCAUCACUUGCACCCCUGUCCCUUGUGACUGUCAGUUUCCAACCUUUUUUAUAAUUCAGAGUGGUUCGUACUUUGUUUUCUAUGACUAUCCCUCCAAUACCUCACUGACAGGGACCAUCAUCUAUUGAAAGCUUCUCCCUGCAGUGCCAUCUCUUUCAUCUUAAAUGCCCAUCCUCUCUUGUCCUUCAGGGGCCUAAUAGAAUCCUUCAGUUGAAGGGAUCCAUUCCCAAAUUCUGGUUUGUUCUUGUCCUUCCAGUACACAGUCACAAACCCUCUUUAACCACUGCCCCAAAUAGGAUAUCGAGGUCCCACACCUGACUUAAUCUGCCGCAUCCAGCGAGGAGAGGUGGAGCUCUGGGUCUGUGAGGAUGAGGACCAUGGGGAAAUCUCAAGGUCAGAGGAGCUGCUGCCAGAUGCUGCUGUCAGGACUGCCAGAGAUCAAAAGCAAACACGAGAGAGCAAUAUCAUAUAUGCACUUUGGCUUCUGGAGCAUGUGAGCCCAUUCAGGUAGGGUGCUUGGCAUCAUCUCCCCCUAGACCCACUUGUGUUGUGGGAUAUAGCAGCCCUUAGAAAUCCUCAUUCUUCCUUUAAGCAGAUUCUUUGUUGUCUCAUCCUCAGUCCAUUUGAGCAUGAAGCCAUUCACAUACUGUUCUGAUGCAUAUGUCCCACAUGUGUUUGUCCAGCAGGGUCUGAGGUGUGGGGGCUGACAGCUGGGCCAGAAACCCUGGGAAUAUGGCUCUGAAAUCUACUGAGUAGGGAAUGUUAGCAUGGCACAGGGACCUGCCCCUUCCUCACGCACAGAGCUUAGGGUUUGGAAGGAAGACCUUGUUUUCUUAAGGAAACAGGUGGCAAUAUCCAGUCCUGCUCAGAGGCCCAUCCCAGCAGAAGGAAUAGCAGUGUUGGCCUUUUGCCUGCAGGGCAGGGACUAAUCUGGAGUUUCUCUUCCCC